rnacentral:rRNA from 1 species
GAUGAACGCUGGCGGCGUGCCUAAUACAUGCAAGUCGAGCGAACAGACGAGGAGCUUGCUCCUUUGACGUUAGCGGCGGACGGGUGAGUAACACGUGGGUAACCUACCUAUAAGACUGGGAUAACUUCGGGAAACCGGAGCUAAUACCGGAUAAUAUUUCGAACCGCAUGGUUCGAUAGUGAAAGAUGGCUUUGCUAUCACUUAUAGAUGGACCUGCGCCGUAUUAGCUAGUUGGUAAGGUAACGGCUUACCAAGGCAACGAUACGUAGCCGACCUGAGAGGGUGAUCGGCCACACUGGAACUGAGACACGGUCCAGACUCCUACGGGAGGCAGCAGUAGGGAAUCUUCCGCAAUGGGCGAAAGCCUGACGGAGCAACGCCGCGUGAGUGAUGAAGGUCUUCGGACCGUAAAACUCUGUUAUUAGGGAAGAACAAACGUGUAAGUAACUGUGCACGUCUUGACGGUACCUAAUCAGAAAGCCACGGCUAACUACGUG